CUAUCAUUAACUGAAUCCAUAGGUUAAUGAGGCGAACCGGGGGAACUGAAACAUCUAAGUACCCCGAGGAAAAGAAAUCAACCGAGAUUCCCCCAGUAGCGGCGAGCGAACGGGGAGCAGCCCAGAGCCUGAAUCAGUGUGUGUGUUAGUGGAAGCGUCUGGAAAGGCGCGCGAUACAGGGUGACAGCCCCGUACACAAAAAUGCACAUGCUGUGAGCUCGAUGAGUAGGGCGGGACACGUGGUAUCCUGUCUGAAUAUGGGGGGACCAUCCUCCAAGGCUAAAUACUCCUGACUGACCGAUAGUGAACCAGUACCGUGAGGGAAAGGCGAAAAGAAC
rnacentral:rRNA from 1 species